CCAAUGGCACUGCCCGGUAGCUAAAUGCGGAAGAGAUAAGUGCUGAAAGCAUCUAAGCACGAAACUUGCCCCGAGAUGAGUUCUCCCUGAGACUUUAAGUCUCCUGAAGGAACGUUAAAGACGAUGACGUUGAUAGGCCGGGUGUGUAAGCGCAGCGAUGCGUUGAGCUAACCGGUACUAAUGAACCGUGAGGCUUAACCUU
rnacentral:rRNA from 1 species